ACAAUAACUAAAGCAUAGAAGGAAGGCUAAAAUAAGAAUUCAGAAACUAUAAACCGGCUCUCUUCUAGCUUACGACACAAACUAUGAGUGAGAAAAGGACAAAUGAUUCGCUCUUUGCUUCAUUUUUUCCGAGGUUGUCACAACAUGAAAUGUCAUUUGGACCUAUUGGACUCAUUUUAAUUCGGCCAAAUACAUAGUAACAUACAUAAGAAGAUUUUACUUAUAUUUACCGAACUAUUUGACACGGUCGCGUGAACUUUGUUUACGAGUGUCUUGUGUUCAGAUUGUUUUAAGUGAUAAUUUAACAAUAUUUUUCCAAAUAAAUGGAAAGAAACUUUUAUUUAUAUCAAAUAAUUGAGUGUCUCGACUCUGUGACAUUAUGUCUUGUGUGGUAUGGGGCUGCAGCUCACAUUCAGGAAGAAAAGAAAAUAGCCAACAACUUCUGUCGUUUCAUCGAUAUUAAAUCCAAAAGUGUCGACUGGAUUUACAUGAAAAGUCAGUUCAAGAAGACGAGAUGAAAAAUUUAAAAGAAAAGCUGAACAAGUCACGCCUCAAGAUCAAACGACUUAAUGAAAAAAAAAGUCAAUGUGACAGGGUGUCACAAAGACAGUUUCUAAACAAAUUGACACUGUUUAGAAAUUAAUAAAUUUGUAUUUAUUGUAAAUAUAAUGUACAUAAUUAAUAACGUGUAAAAUAAAUACUUGCUAAUGAACAGAUUUACGAUCUAAUUUAUAUUUCAUUUUACCUCCUGUUCUUAUUUACUCCUACUCCAACACUCCAGGUUGAUACGAACUGCGCCCAAUAAAGAAUGUAAUGAAUGUUAUAGAUUUGUGUAAGCGACUUAGAUAAAUCUUGACUAAACCUUCCUUUACAAAUACAAAUAUACUUUAUUGCACACAACAUACAAUACUUACAAGUUUUACACGAAAGAUACAGUAUACCACCUACCUACCUUUUACUUUCCCUUUCUGUUCUCUUAUGAAUACUUGUAUGCCGUAUUUUUUUUUAAGUAUAAUGCUAUAUCUAGUAGGUACGAGUAUGGUAAUCCUAGUAUUGAAACAGCUUGUAGCCCUAGUAAAGACCGCCAUUUUAUGUUUACAGAGUGGCACGUUUUUUCUGUAGGUAUUUCCAGUCCAUACUCUUUUCUAUGUCUAUGGCGUGAGCCCAUCGGGCCUCUUACCGUCUGUGCGGCUUAGACCCGGCGGUUCCAAUUUGCACGGCACGUCGAUCGACACCAGUGCACGGCGGAUGACAUCAUAAAUAAAUUCGAAUAUUACAAAAUACUUACCGAUGAAACGAUAACAGUUGGCUAUUUUCUUUCCUUCCUGAAUGUGAGCUGCAGCUCCAAACUAAUAUAAACCAGACAAUAUAAUCCAAAAAUGGUUAGAUACUUACCUAUCAGAGACAGAGUCUCCUUUCAUCAAGAAGAAGAUAAUUGCAUCCUACAAAAAGAAAUCUUGUAAAAAAAAUUUAUCGACAUUAAUUGUAAGUAAAUUUAAUUUUAUCGACAUAUUAGUAAAGUGAAACCCAACACUAGGCAAUGAAAAACUUGUGACAACCUACGAAAUUACGAAACAAUUUUUGUAUAUGCGUCUUUGUCUAACAUUACGCCGGUUCCGUAAGAUAAA
rnacentral:lncRNA from 1 species